GUUAAGCGACUAAGCGUACACGGUGGAUGCCCUGGCAGUCAGAGGCGAUGAAGGACGUGCUAAUCUGCGAUAAGCGUCGGUAAGGUGAUAUGAACCGUUAUAACCGGCGAUUUCCGAAUGGGGAAACCCAGUGUGUUUCGACACACUAUCAUUAACUGAAUCCAUAGGUUAAUGAGGCGAACCGGGGGAACUGAAACAUCUAAGUACCCCGAGGAAAAGAAAUCAACCGAGAUUCCCCCAGUAGCGGCGAGCGAACGGGGAGCAGCCCAGAGCCUGAAUCAGUGUGUGUGUUAGUGGAAGCGUCUGGAAAGGCGCGCGAUACAGGGUGACAGCCCCGUACACAAAAAUGCACAUGCUGUGAGCUCGAUGAGUAGGGCGGGACACGUGGUAUCCUGUCUGAAUAUGGGGGGACCAUCCUCCAAGGCUAAAUACUCCUGACUGACCGAUAGUGAACCAGUACCGUGAGGGAAAGGCGAAAAGAACCCCGGCGAGGGGAGUGAAAAAGAACCUGAAACCGUGUACGUACAAGCAGUGGGAGCACGCUUAGGCGUGUGACUGCGUACCUUUUGUAUAAUGGGUCAGCGACUUAUAUUCUGUAGCAAGGUUAACCGAAUAGGGGA
rnacentral:rRNA from 1 species